AAAUUGAAGAGUUUGAUCAUGGCUCAGAUUGAACGCUGGCGGCAGGCCUAACACAUGCAAGUCGAACGGUAACAGGAAGCAGCUUGCCUGC
rnacentral:rRNA from 1 species